rnacentral:rRNA from 1 species
UACGUAGGGCGCAAGCGUUAUCCGGAAUUAUUGGGCGUAAAGAGCUCGUAGGCGGUUUGUCGCGUCUGCCGUGAAAGUCCGGGGCUCAACUCCGGAUCUGCGGUGGGUACGGGCAGACUAGAGUGAUGUAGGGGAGACUGGAAUUCCUGGUGUAGCGGUGAAAUGCACAGAUAUCAGGAGGAACACCGGUGGCGAAGGCGGGUCUCUGGGCCGAUACUGACGCUGAGGAGCGAAAGCGUGGGGAGCGAACAGG